GUCUUACUAUGUGGGGUUAAGAGGGCC
rnacentral:piRNA from 1 species